rnacentral:rRNA from 1 species
GACGAACGCUGGCGGCGUGCCUAAUACAUGCAAGUCGAACGCACAGCGAAAGGUGCUUGCACCUUUCAAGUGAGUGGCGAACGGGUGAGUAACACGUGGACAACCUGCCUCAAGGCUGGGGAUAACAUUUGGAAACAGAUGCUAAUACCGAAUAAAACUCAGUGUCGCAUGACACAAAGUUAAAAGGCGCUUUGGCGUCACCUAGAGAUGGAUCCGCGGUG